GCCAAGGUAGCUCAGUUGGUAGAGCGCCUGAGUGAAGAUCAGGAAGUCGGGAGUUCGAAUCUCUCUCUUGGCACCA
rnacentral:tRNA from 1 species